rnacentral:rRNA from 1 species
UACGGGGGGAGCAAGCGUUGUUCGGAUUUACUGGGCGUAAAGGGCGCGUAGGCGGCGUGACAAGUCACUUGUGAAAUCUCCGGGCUUAACUCGGAACGGUCAAGUGAUACUGUCGUGCUAGAGUACAGAAGGGGCAACUGGAAUUCCCAGUGUAGCGGUGAAAUGCGUAGAUAUUGGGAGGAACACCAGUGGCGAAGGCGGCUCACUGGACCGGAACUGACGCUGAGGCGCGAAAGCGUGGGGAGCAAACAGG